CGGACGGGUGAGUAACGCGUGGGUAACCUGCCUUGUACGAGGGGAUAACAGUUGGAAACGGCUGCUAAUACCGCAUAAGCGCACGGCAUCGCAUGAUGCAGUGUGAAAAACUCCGGUGGUAUAAGAUGGACCCGCGUUGGAUUAGCUAGUUGGUGAGGUAACGGCCCACCAAGGCGACGAUCCAUAGCCGACCUGAGAGGGUGACCGGCCACAUUGGGACUGAGACACGGCCCAA
rnacentral:rRNA from 1 species